UGAAGAGCGGCGAACGGGUGAGUAACGCGUGGGAAAUCUGCCGAGUAGCGGGGGACAACGUUUGGAAACGAACGCUAAUACCGCAUAACAAUGAGAAUCGCAUGAUUCUUAUUUAAAAGAAGCAAUUGCUUCACUACUUGAUGAUCCCGCGUUGUAUUAGCUAGUUGGUAGUGUAAAGGACUACCAAGGCGAUGAUACAUAGCCGACCUGAGAGGGUGAUCGGCCACACUGGGACUGAGACACGGCCCAGACUCCUACGGGAGGCAGCAGUAGGGAAUCUUCGGCAAUGGGGGCAACCCUGACCGAGCAACGCCGCGUGAGUGAAGAAGNU
rnacentral:rRNA from 1 species